GAGCUGUCAGUCAGCAGCAGCAGCAGCUUAUCUGUGGGCCGCUAACAGGGGCUGAUGGGAGCUUUGAGGACCUGAUAGAAAGCAUGUGGCCCGGUCUGCUCUCACAGCUCGUCCCGGUUUGGCCUCAGCUGCAUCAGAGCUCCACUUGUGCUCAGCUUCUCCAGAGGAAACACCACUGCACAAGAUGCUUCUCCUCCCAGCUGCUGCUCUGUGCUGUCUGUGUUCAGGGCUGGUUGCCAUGGCAGCACAGCUGAUUCAGGACGAUCUGACUUUGACCAGGAGAGUCGGUCAAAAUGCCUCCUUCAGCUGUAAAACUGAUCAGUGUGAUUCUCCCUUUGUCUUCUGGUACCAGAAGAAAGAAUCAGAAACAUUCAGUGAUUCUUUACAUUGACAGAAGUGAUGGUAGCAUAGAAUCAGGUUACAAUCAUCCUCAGAAAAAUGAUUUCUCAGCUGUGAAGAUACAGAACAGCAUUGAGUUGAAGCUAGAGAAAGUUAAACUCCAACAUUCAGCCUCCUACUACUGCAGCUGUGGGAUAUCAAAUCUCCACAGUGAUCCAUUCUACCUGCAGUCUGUACAAAAACCUCCAGAUCAACAAACAGUGUCUGUGACAUGAAGACAGCAGUAAACUACAGUCCAGGAUCACAUAGUUCAGAGAACUACAGUCCACUGUUACACCAUCACUUCAUGAUUGAUUCAUAUUUGUAUAUUUUCAUCUCUAGAAGCAUCUUUGAGAAGUGAAAGAUGUGCUACAGUGUGUAGAACUGAGCAAACAUUCAGCAGCAGGUUUUUGUACGAGGAUUUUUCACUGUGGAAGGAAACUGGUUCUAUACCUUUGGUUCUGGAACUAAACUGUAUGUAACAGAUGAGCAGGUAGUGAAGCCCAUGGUGAGCGUCUACCCAGCAGCAUCCACAGUCCACCUGGAGGGGAAGAGCUCCCUGCUGUGUCUGGCCUCAGCCAUGUUUCCUCCUCUGGUCCGCUUCUCCUGGAAAAAACAGAAGGAGGACGAGCGGCUGGAGGAUGUGGACCCUGCUGAGGGAGAGCAGCUGGAGAUCAGAGAGCCGGGACGCAGCGCCUCCAUCUGGCUGAUCCAUCAGCAACAGGACGGCACAUAUAAAUACAGCUGCUACGUCCAGCACGAGGGAGGAACAGUGGAGGCCCAGACACAACAAGCAGCCUCCUGUCCUCCAGAGAGAGAACCAGCAGACCUGCCAGCUCUGCAGCAAGCUCACUUGUCCUUCCAGUCUCAGUCUCAGGUGAAGCUGCUCUGUCUGCUGUCCACAGUGCUGAUAGUGAAGAGUCUGGUGUUCUGCUGUGGAAUCUCUCUGAUGAUGAUCCUCACAAACAAGGGACCGUCCACCAACUGCACACAUGCUGACUGACUGUUUGCUGCUGGACUUUUCUCAGCGUCACACCUCAUCAAUACAUCUCAUUGAUUUGAUCAGUGAUCAGAAACAUCAGCUGUGACGUGUUGUGCUUCGUUAUAAAUUGCACCUCUUCAUGCUCAUGUUAUUUGUCCUCCUACAAGUGUUUUUACAUAUAUUCAUAUAUAUUCGUCAUGCCCCGAUGUAUGAUGACAAUGAAGCUAUUCUAUUCUAUUCUAUUCUAUUCUAUUCUGUUCUGUUCUGUUCUGUUCUGUUCUGUUCUGUUCUGUUCUGUUCUGUUCUGUUCUGUUCUGUUCUGUUCUGUUCUGUUCUGUUCUAUUCUAUUCUAUUCUAUUCUAUUCUAUUCUAUUCUAUUCUAUUCUAUUCUAUUCUAUUCUAUUCAGUUAUAAAGUGCAGUUUCUACAGGGAAAUUUUGUCAGUCUGAUCUUGUUCUGUGUCUGAGAUCCAAAGAAAUGUACAAAGUGGCACAAAUAUAAAUACAUACAUCAACAUGUCAACAAAAGAAAGCAGAUCUUUAAGCUUGCAGAUUAAUUCUUAUUUUGCAAUAAACUCUACUUUGACAAAAAAUAGAAGCUACAGCUGCAAUUAAAAUGAUCACACAGCAGCAGUUAAAUCCACCACAGCUCAAGUCGGAAUGCUGGCAAAACGAUGGACAUGCAGAUAUUUUUUGAAAUCGCUAAAAUGCCACAGAAUUGUUCCAGUUAAAUCAAUUUUAAUUGUGAUGUUAUUAAUGAGAAGAUGGAAAACUUUACAUAAACCUUAAUUAAGGAUUUUACAUACCUUAUUGUAAAAUGAUUCCACACUGAAAAUUUCUAUAUAUUAGACCGAAAAAUAUUAAUCAUUCAUUGUUUGUCACUGUUUAUGUGUGUAUUACUGUGUUAUUCAUUCAUCUGUGUUUAUGAUUUCAGUCGAUAUUAGUAUUAAAUGUUAUUCUGUUGUUUAAAAGCCUCUUGAAUCUAUGUUUGCAGUAUUUUUUUAUUAUUAAUUGUUACAAUGAAGAUUUUAUACAAAAAAGUCUAUCAUGUCUUGUUUUAUUUAUUCCAUCAAAAUUAAUUGGCAGCUCUGAGUUCAGAAUUUCACCUGUUUCUCUCACAGAUAAAGAACACAGAUGCUUCCUGGAAUGAUUCUUUUAGGCGAGUGGGUGUAACUGUCUUUGUGUUAUUAAUGUGAAAAACCACAGAUAACGGUGCCGCAGAGCAGAAACCCGUACAGGAAAGACAUUUGAUUGGCUGUCAACAUCUGAAAAUUCUGAGAACAGAUUCAUAUCUGCUGUAAACACUCAUCAGCUGCCCUCCUUCUACAUGGUUUGUGUUUUCUCGUUUUCUGUCAGCCUUGUUCCCACUCAGACCUCCACCUACAGAGUUGAGCUAAACUGAAUCACCACCUGAAGUUCAUGUCCUGCUUACAUUUUGGAGGAUUUACAAGUUGUUAUUAAAAAAAAAUAGAUUCCACUCUGUUGAUUGUUCAUGUGUGUAAACAACAGUGUCGUCAGCGGAGAGUUUCACAUUCACACUGACACAAUUCUGAAAGAUGAUUAAUACACAAAAU
ensembl:lncRNA